rnacentral:rRNA from 1 species
AGUGAACGCUGGCGGCAGGCCUAACACAUGCAAGUCGAGCGGCAGCGCGGGGGCAACCCUGGCGGCGAGCGGCGGAAGGGUGAGGAAUUCGUCGGAAUAUGCCUUUUUGUGGGGGAGGACGACGGGAAACUUACGCUAAUACCGCAUACGUCCUACGGGAGAAAGUGGGGGGGGGCAAGGCAUCACGCAGAGAGAGGAGCCGACGAGCGAUUAGUUAGUUGGUGGGGGAAGGACCGACCAAGGCGACUAUCGGUGGGUGGUCGGAGAGGAUGAUUAGCCACAUGGGGACUUAGACACGGCCCAGACUCCUGCGGGAGGCAGCAGUGGGGAAUAUUGGACAAUGGGCGGAAGCCUGGUCCAGCCAUGCGGCGUGUGUGAAGAAGGCCUUCGGGUUGGAAAGCACGUUUGUCCGGAAAGAAAUCCCUGGGGCUAAUACCUUCGGGGGAUGACGGUACCGGAAGAAUAAGCACCAGCUAACUUCGUG